CCGUGCUCCACGGAUAUUGGUGGGAUUUAGGUAGCUGUAGACUGGAGCUGGGGGAAUUUCAUCCUGCAGGACCCCGGGGAUGUUUGGCUGGGUUUUAGCUGGUGUAAACGGCCAGCUCCUUGCAGACUCUGAUGGGAGGAGAGGUUUGGAGCCCCCUGCCUCCCCUUGGCUGCAGGGCUCCCCAGGGGGAUGUGGUUCUGAAGCGGUGGUCCUGAGGUGGGUAUGCUCUCCUCCUGCUGACCAGGAGAGGCAAGGUCUGGGCUGAUCCUUCCUCUGCUCAUCCCCUGGCUGAGGGAAGGAUUUUUUUUUGGCUGCAGGUGCCCCACAAAGAGUGUCCAGCUCCCUUUGGUCACCCCUGUGGGUAAGCUUGGAGCCCCUGGGACCCCUGCACGCCCCGCCAGGUCCUCAGCCCAUCAAGGUUUCAGACACCCCCGUUUUAGGGCUGAGGACAGACACCAGCCCUCCCCAUGCCCCAUGGCACCGGCUGCAUGCUCAGUGCCAAGGAGAUGCUGGGAUCGUGCUGGCUGGAGAUCGUCUUCCUCCACUCUCGUCCUCCCAAGGCAAGCUGCAGUGGUUGGCAGCAAACCCUGCUUGUCCCCCACCUGUGCCUGCACCAGUGCUGCUUGGAUGUCGUGUGCCAUCAAGGGGCUUCAGCUGCUGCCAGCUGAACGAGCCCUUCCAGGACCAGAAGAUUGAUCUAGAUGGCAUUAAUGCACGGACAGAUCCCAAAAGGAGCUGCUCAGCCCAGGUCCAGUGAGUGCAGGGAGGUGAGUGUCCAGAUUGGGUCCGAUGGAUCACAUCUCCACAAGGUCCUGCCUUUUUCCACUGAGAUCCCAGUGCAAUGGCUCAAGAGUAGGUGCCCAUGGUUAUAUUGGGCAGCUUGUCACAGCCCCGGGCCAUGGGCUUUAGGCACUGCGAGUCCGAGGCUCUAAAUGGCUUACCCUGCUCCAUCGACAGCUCCACCGUGGGGCUGAAACCAAACAUGCCUGCUGUUAUCUAGCACUUACUGGCAUCCACCCAUUUUCAUUUCCAAAGGCUUUGGAAGCCUGGGUCGGAGGGAUUUUUCUCGA
rnacentral:lncRNA from 1 species